GAUGAAGAACGUAGCGAAAUGCGAUAAGUAGUGUGAAUUGCAGAAUUCAGUGAAUCAUCGAAUCUUUGAACGCACAUUGCGCCCCUUGGUAUUCCAUGGGGCAUGCCUGUUCGAGCGUCAUUUGUACCUUCAAGCUUUGCUUGGUGUUGGAUGUUUGUCUCGCCUUUGCGUGUAGACUCGCCUUAAAAUAAUUGGCAGCCGGCGUAUUGAUUUCGGAGCGCAGUACAUCUCGCGCUUUGCACUCAUAACGACAGCGUCCAAAAGUACAUUUUACACUCUUGACCUCGGAUCAGGUAGGGAUACCCGCUGAACUUAAGCAUAUCAAUAAGCGGAGGA
rnacentral:misc_RNA from 1 species